rnacentral:rRNA from 1 species
UACGGAAGGCAGCAGUGGGGAAUAUUGCACAAUGGGCGCAAGCCUGAUGCAGCCAUGCCGCGUGUAUGAAGAAGGCCUUCGGGUUGUAAAGUACUUUCAGUCGUGAGGAAGGUGUUAAGGUUAAUAACCUUAGCAAUUGACGUUAGCGACAGAAGAAGCACCGGCUAACUCCGUGCCAGCAGCCGCGGUAAUACGGAGGGUGCGAGCGUUAAUCGGAAUUACUGGGCGUAAAGGGCACGCAGGCGGUUAAUUAAGUUGGAUGUGAAAUCCCCGGGCUUAACCUGGGAAUGGCAUUCAAGACUGGUUAGCUAGAGUCUUGUAGAGGGGGUAGAAUUCCAUGUGUAGCGGUGAAAUGCGUAGAGAUGUGGAGGAAUACCGGUGGCGAAAGGCGGCCCCUGGACAAAAGGACUGACGCUCAUGUGCGAAAGCGUGGGGAGCAAACAGGGAUUAGAUACC